rnacentral:rRNA from 1 species
UACGUAGGGGGCAAGCGUUGUCCGGAAUCAUUGGGCGUAAAGAGCGUGCAGGCGGCUCGAUAAGUCUGCUGUGAAAGUCCAGGGCUCAACCCUGGAAGGCCGGUGGAAACUGUCGGGCUAGAGUCCGGAAGAGGCGAGUGGAAUUCCCGGUGUAGCGGUGGAAUGCGCAGAUAUCAGGAGGAACACCAAUGGCGAAGGCAGAUCUCUGGGCCGUAACUGACGCUGAGGAGCGAAAGCAUGGGGAGCGAACAGG